rnacentral:rRNA from 1 species
UAACAACUGGAGGGCAAGUCUGGUGCCAGCAGCCGCGGUAAUUCCAGCUCCAGUAGUGUAUUUCAAAAUUGUUGCGGUUAAAACGCUCGUAGUCGAAUUAUAAAAACGUUAUUAAAGUCUAAUUAGCUACAUAUAAGUAGUUAAUUGGGUGACGUUUUUUUGUCGCAAGUACUAAUCGUGGGCUUCAAUGCUUGUGGUUAGUCGCUUGCGAAGCGUGCCUUGAAUAAAGCAAAGUGCUCAACGCAAGCGUAACGCUAAUAUGUAAUAGCAUGGAACGAAUUGAAAUGUGCAGGCGUUAGUUUAGUUAGUUGGUGGGGCUGCAAACUUUGCAUGUAGUCUACCUUGCAAGCAAUUGCUCGGUUCUCUUAUGUGUCUAGUGUGUAGUCCGCCGGGUGGUCUGUGUCCAAUGGGUUGCCGGGGUGGUUAAACAUCCCGGUUGGACGUUGGACGCUCACAGGCCAUUCGGUACUAAACUGCCUGUCGGUUAAGAGGGACAUUUGAGGGCGUUAGUACUUGGAGGCGAGAGGUGAAAUUCUUAGACCCUCCAAAGACUGACAAAUGCGAAAGCAUUCGCCAAGAGUGUUUUCAUUGAUCAAGAACGAAAGUUGGAGGUUCGAAGACGAUCAGAUACCGUCCUAGUUCCAUACAGUAAACGAUGCCAACACGCGAUCAGUCUGAAGUAAUUUGGAUUGAGGUUGGUCGCCCAGGGAAACUGUAAGUGUUCUGGUUGUGGGGAGAGUACGGUCGCAAGGUUGAAAUUUAAAGGAAUUGACGGAAAGGCACCACCAGGAGUGGAGCCUGCGGCUUAAUUUGACUCAACACGGGACAACUCACCAGGUCCGGACAUUGGUAGGAUUGACAGACUGAUAGAUCUUUCAUGAUUCGAUGAUUGGUGGUGCAUGGCCGUUCUUAGUUGGUGGAGUGAUCUGUCAGGUUUAUUCCGGUAACGAGCGAGACCACGAUGUCUAGUUGAUGGCCAAACCACGACAGGGUAAAACCAAAGUGGUGCUUAUUUGCAUUCUGCAUGCUGUKGCAGUGUGAGUAGUUGGCGGCAACGUCGGCUAUUUGCGCUGUGGCAGUGUGU